rnacentral:rRNA from 1 species
AAGCGGUGGAGCAUGUGGUUAAUUCGAAGCAACGCGAAGAACCUUACCAGGUCUUGACAUCCCGAUGCUAUUUCUAGAGAUAGAAAGUACUUCGGUACAUCGGUGACAGGUGGUGCAUGGUUGUCGUCAGCUCGUGUCGUGAGAUGUUGGGUUAAGUCCCGCAACGAGCGCAACCCCUAUUGUUAGUUGCCAUCAUUCAGUUGGGCACUCUAGCGAGACUGCCGGUAAUAAACCGGAGGAAGGUGGGGAUGACGUCAAAUCAUCAUGCCCCCUUAUGACCUGGGCUACACACGUGCUACAAUGGUUGGUACAACGAGUUGCGAGUCGGUGACGGCGAGCUAAUCUCUUAAAGCCAAUCUCAGUUCGGAUUGUAGGCUGCAACUCGCCUACAUGAAGUCGGAAUCGCUAGUAAUCGCGGAUCAGCACGCCGCGGUCGAAUACGUUCCCGGGCCUU